AGAGUUUGAUCCUGGCUCAGGACGAACGCUGGCGGCGUGCUUAACACAUGCAAGUCGAACGAGACGAUUGAAAGCUUGCUUUUGAGAGUCGAGUGGCAAACGGGUGAGUAACGCGUAGACAACCUGCCGCAAAGAUGGGGACAACAGUUCGAAAGGACUGCUAAUACCGAAUGUUGUCAGAUUCCCGCAUGGGAGACUGAUUAAAGAUGGCCUCUACUUGUAAGCUAUCGCUUUGCGAUGGGUCUGCGUCUGAUUAGCUGGUUGGUGGGGUAACGGCCUACCAAGGCGACGAUCAGUAGCCGGUCUGAGAGGAUGAACGGCCACAUUGGAACUGAGACACGGUCCAGACUCCUACGGGAGGCAGCAGUGGGGAAUCUUCCGCAAUGGGCGAAAGCCUGACGGAGCAACGCCGCGUGAGUGAAGAAGGGUUUCGGCUCGUAAAGCUCUGUUGACGGGGACGAAUGUGCGGGAUGCGAAUAGUUUCCUGCAAUGACGGUACCCGUCGAGGAAGCCACGGCUAACUACGUGCCAGCAGCCGCGGUAAUACGUAUGUGGCGAGCGUUGUCCGGAAUUAUUGGGCGUAAAGGGAGCGCAGGCGGGAAGGCAAGUCAGUCUUAAAAGUGCGGGGCUCAACCCCGUGAUGGGAUUGAACUGUCUUCCUUGAGUGCAGGAGAGGAAAGCGGAAUUCCUAGUGUAGCGGUGAAAUGCGUAGAUAUUAGGAGGAACACCAGUGGCGAAGGCGGCUUUCUGGACUGUAACUGACGCUGAGGCUCGAAAGC
rnacentral:rRNA from 1 species